CGCUAUCACUCCUACGGGGAGGCAGCAGUGGGGAAUAUUGCACAAGUGGGGGAAACCCUGAUGCAGCCAUGCCGCGUGUGUGAAGAAGGCCUUCGGGUUGUAAAGCACUUUCAGUAGGGAGGAAGGUAGUGUAGUUAACACCUGCACUAUUUGACGUUACCUACAGAAGAAGCACCGGCUAACUCCGUGCCAGCAGCCGCGGUAAUACGGAGGGUGCGAGCGUUAAUCGGAAUUACUGGGCGUAAAGCGCAUGCAGGCGGCCUGUUAAGUCAGAUGUGAAAGCCCGGGGCUUAACCUCGGAAUUGCAUUUGAAACUGGCAGGCUAGAGUCUUGUAGAGGGGGGUAGGAAUUUCAGGUGUAGCGGUGAAAUGCGUAGAGAUCUGAAGGAAUACCAGUGGCGAAGGCGGCCCCCUGGACAAAGACUGACGCUCAGAUGCGAAAGCGUGGGGAGCAAACAGGAUUAGAUACCCUGGUAG
rnacentral:rRNA from 1 species